UACAGAGGGGGCAAGCGUUGUCCGGAUUUACUGGGCGUACAGCGCGCGCAGGCGGUUGCCGUAUGUGAGCGGUGACAUCCGCGGGCUCAACCCGCGGCGGCCCGCUUACACAGCGCGACUGGAGGCAGGGAGAGGGAUGUGGAAUACCCGGUGGAGCGGUGAAAUGCGUAGAGAUCGGGUGGAACACCAGCGGCGAAGGCGGCAUCCUGGCCCUGUACUGACGCUGAGGCGCGAUAGCGUGGGA
rnacentral:rRNA from 1 species